rnacentral:piRNA from 1 species
AGUGAUUAAACCAGAGAAAUC